GGGCCUCCCAAAAGCUGAGUCGGUGGAAGCUAUGAACACCAGGAGACCCAAUGGAGACUGCACCACUGAAUCUCACAGGUAUUCUACCACAGAAGUUCACACCAUAAACCCAGUGAGACAGAACACAUCAACUUAAGAAGCAGAGGCUAACAAGAAGAGUCUCACGAA